rnacentral:misc_RNA from 1 species
GGAGUGAACAAAUGGUUAGUGGCAUCAUUGAUCACAUGGAUUCCCAUUUUUAUUGCUGCUUUUUUUCUGAUUAUAGGGGCACUCAGGUGCUCGUCUUCAUUUGGGCCGCCUACCCUUAUGCAUACAUGCGUGAACUGAAGGGAUAAAAAUGAUUUGAUAUUAUC